rnacentral:snoRNA from 1 species
UGUCCCUGACCUGGGUAGAGUGGCAUCUAGCUGUGGCAUUCAUCUCAUAUCAGCCAGGGACAAAGCAACUCCUUGUUCAUCCCAGCUUGGCUUCUGAUCUGUGCCCAUGCCUGGUUCAUGCCUUGGACACAUAC